UACGUAGGGUGCAAGCGUUAAUCGGAAUUAUUGGGCGUAAAGGGUGCGCAGGCGGAUGUAUAAGUCAGAUGUGAAAUCCCCGGGCUUAACCUGGGAAUUGCGUUUGAAACUAUAUGACUAGAGUGUGAUAGAGGGGAGUGGAAUUCCAUGUGUAGCAGUGAAAUGCGUAGAGAUGUGGAAGAACACCGAUGGCGAAGGCAGCUCCCUGGAUUAACACUGACGCUCAUGCACGAAAGCGUGGGGAGCAAAC
rnacentral:rRNA from 1 species